GUUUGGGAAUGGGAUGUGGGAUGGUGGGAUCUGAAGCAAUUUGACGAGGAGUCCUUGUGCCAGUCGGAGGAGAUGAAGCUGCUGGGAUGGUGGCUGAUGCUGGUGGGGACACUUCGAUUGGCUUCCGUCUGGUUCGGAUUCUUCGACAUUUGGGCUCUUCGCCUCGCUGUCUUCUCCCAGGCCACCAUGACUGAAGUUCACGGCCGGACAUUUGGAGUAUGGACGCUGUUGACUUGCACCCUGUGUUUUCUUUGCGCAUUGAAUCUUGAUAACAAGCCUCUGUAUUUGGUCACAUUCCUAUCCUUCAUAUACGCUCUUGGUCAUUUCCUGACUGAGUACCUGAUAUACCAAACCAUGGCUAUUGGAAAUCUGACAACUGUUGGCAUUUUUGCGGGCACAUCGAUUAUAUGGAUGUUGCUGCAGUGGAAUUCACACCAACUGGCCAAGCCCAAACAUGGAUAAUUGUGUGCUCAAGCUUCGAAUUAUUCGAAGCUUUGCUUGCCUCGUGAUUUUCUAUCCCGCCCGCACAAACUAUUAUUACUUGAAUCGGGCAGAUGCUAAUAGAGUUCGAAGUUAAUCUCAUUUUGUGGAUGAGGCUACAACGUCUACAAGAAGUAAUUCCAAAGACGGCAGAAAUGCAAAUAAAAUGUGUAAAUUAAAUUUCAAGAUAAUACAGAGAAGUCUUUCUGACAAUGCCAUUUGCAGCUGCUCAUCACAAUCAGUGACUGUUUGAUGUGAUGAAAAGGGGUCUUGUAAUAAAGAGUGGAAGAAUCUUACCAAGUUGGUGCCAUCAGAUGACACCCUGCUGGAUAAUUCCCUGCCUGGACAAAAUAUAUAUAAAAAGAUUGUUGCUGCAACAAGGUUAGUGUACAUAUGAAAGAAAACUUGGUGUAAGAAGUAGAUGUUCUUUUUGUUACCUUGGGAAAACAUAUGGAAAGAGCUUAAUGUUGAGAUCAAUGGCAGUAGGAUUAGAAAUAGAGCUAUAAUCAGGAGUUGCUGCUUGCUUUUUGAUGUUUUGAUGCACCCCAUUGAAUUUCUUGGGAGAUAUGUUGUUUUGAUGAUGAGAAUGGAAUGGAUGAUUUUAGGA